rnacentral:rRNA from 1 species
UUAUGUCCAGGGCUACACACGUGCUACAAUGGGCGGUACAAAGGGUCGCAAACCCGUAAGGGGGAGCAAAUCCAUCGAAAGCCGUCCUCAGUUCGGAUUGAGGUCUGCAACUCGACCUCAUGAAGCUGGAAUCGCUAGUAAUCGCGGAUCAGCACGCCGCGGUGAAUACGUUCCGGGCCUU